UUCCGGUUGAUCCUGCCAGAGGCUACUGCUAUCGGAGUCCGACUAAGCCAUGCGAGUCGUGGGUGCCCUCUUCGGAGGAGUAACCCGGCGGACGGCUCAGUAACACGUGGAUAACCUGCCCUUGGGACCGGGAUAACCCCGGGAAACUGGGGAUAAUACCGGAUAGGCCACCGAUGCUGGAAUGCGCGGUGGCUCAAAGCUACGGCGCCCAAGGAUGGGUCUGCGGCCGAUUAGGCUGUUGCCGGGGUAACGUCCCGGCAAACCUGUGAUCGGUACGGGUUGUGAGAGCAAGAGCCCGGAGAUGGAUUCUGAGACACGAAUCCAGGCCCUACGGGGCGCAGCAGGCGCGAAACCUUUACAAUGCACGCAAGUGUGAUAAGGGGACUCCGAGUGUCGGCACCUGUGUCGACUGUCCGGAUACCUAAAAAGUAUCCGAUAGCAAGGGCCGGGUAAGACCGGUGCCAGCCGCCGCGGUAACACCGGCGGCUCGAGUGGUAGCCACUAUUAUUGAGUCUAAAGCGUCCGUAGCCGGUCUGAAAAGUCCCUUGGGAAAUCCUACAGCUUAACUGUCGGGCUUCCAAGGGAUACUUUCAGACUUGAGACCCGGGAGAGGUUGGAGGUACUUCAGGAGUAGGAGUGAAAUCCUGUGAUACCUGGGGGACCACCUGUGGCGAAGGCGUCCAACUGGAACGGGUCUGACGGUGAGGGACGAAAGCUAGGGGCGCGAACCGGAUUAGAUACCCGGGUAGUCCUAGCCGUAAACGAUGUGGGCUAGGUGUCAGCCACACUGCGAGUGUGGCUGGUGCCGUAGGGAAGCCGUGAAGCCCACCACUUGGGAAGUACGGCCGCAAGGCUGAAACUUAAAGGAAUUGGCGGGGGAGCACCACAACGGGUGGAUGCUGCGGUUUAAUUGGAUACAACGCCGGAAAUCUCACCGGGGGAGACAGCAAGAUGAAGGUCAGGCUGAAGACCUUACCAGAUUAGCUGAGAGGAGGUGCAUGGCCGUCGUCAGUUCGUACUGUGAAGCAUCCUGUUAAGUCAGGCAACGAGCGAGACCCGCGCCCACAAUUGCCAGCAUGUCCUCCGGGACGAUGGGCACAUUGUGGGGACCGCCUCUGCUAAAGAGGAGGAGGGAGCGGGCAACGGUAGGUCAGUAUGCCCCGAAUCUCCCGGGCUACACGCGGCAUACAAUGGACGGGACAAUGGGUAUCGACCCCGAGAGGGGGAGGCAAUCCCAUAAACCCGUUCGUAGUUCGGAUUGAGGGCUGCAACUCGCCCUCAUGAAGCUGGAAUCCGUAGUAAUCGCGUGUCAACAUCACGCGGUGAAUGUGUCCCUGCUCCUUGCACACACCGCCCGUCAAACCACCCGAGUGGGGUCCAGGUGAGGCUGUGGUUCUUGCCACAUUCGAACCUGGGUUCCGCAAGGGGGGUUAAGUCGUACCAAGGUAGCCA
rnacentral:rRNA from 1 species